GAGCCUUCCCCUUUGUUUCCCUCAGUGAUGCUAGGGUCUUGAAACUCAGCCCAGUACAAUCAUUGGUGUUUGAGCUGGCAACUGGGGGUCUAAUUGCCAACUAAGAUGGAUAUCUCUGGCUCUGGAGAAACAGCUGGGAUAGGACAAUGUUGCUUCUCUGCGGCAGGCAGCUCAUGAUGCAAAUGCCGAGUUUGGACCAAUAGGAUUCAAACCUUGGUGGCUGCCUCCAGCAUGCACUCUUUGCACUGCUCUGCUUCCUCCUGCCACUCUGGUGACAUUUGCGUGGAGAUAGGGUUUCUCUGUGCAGUCCUGGCUGUCCUGGAACUCACUCUGUAGACCAGGCUGGCUUAACGUUGAUGAAGACACCCAAAAAGAAGAUGGAACACCGGAGUGCUUUUGCCAUCAAACUUAUUCGUGCACUGUGUCAAUGCCACAGCUGAUGUGGGUGGUGGAAAUCCUACGGACAAGAGCAAAGACAGCACCUUGUCCACCAGAGUCCAUGGCAGUGUGCUCCUGAACAUGCCACUAAAGCAAACCACACAUCGUGGCCAGCUUUUCCUCCCUUAGAGGAUGCUGUGUAUAAUAAACAGCAUCCAGACUGAGGAACUACAACAAGGAACAGCAAGGCUUUUUGUUCCCAAUUACAUUCAGAGGAAGCCUCACCAUGUCUAUGGAUGCCCAGCAGGCUCUUCACCUGUGGCUCAAACCUCAAUCAGCUUUAGGGCAGCUACGAACAGACAGUCCCUCUGCCACACCUCAUGGAAGUCGUCUGCCUGUCCAGCUGAACACGGAUUUGUUUUGAAAUGACACGGAGAGUUACAUAAAGAAAAACUUGUUCUGACAAGAAAAGACUUGAGGAGAUAAAAAUCCUCCUGGUCUCGGGGUUCUCCAGAUCUCUUCCCACAGCAUCCUUGUCUCCCUGAGGAAAUGAGUAGUAUUUACAGUAUUCUGCUGCUAUGCUCAACAGAUUCUUGUAUGUACAGUUCUCACCUCUUUUCUCAGAACCUUCUCCGGUGAAUGCCACCUUUGUCUUGCAGGGCAGCUGAAGUGAGAGAUGAAACAGACUCUUUUAUAGGGGCUCACUACUCACUUUAAGCCCAGGGCUUCUGGCAAAGUGUGACGUACUUGUUCUUGGAUACCAGAGAUGGCAGACUCCAAAUCUUGUCAUCUUCAAUUGCAAUGGGGAACAAUUUGGCUUCAAAUAAUUUUUCCAACAUACAUGAAGUCUGAAGGAAUUUUUGGAGAGCUCAACAGUAAUGUUUUUCUCUAGAGAUGAUCGUCCUUUAUAGCUUGGUCAUGGGAGGUUCAUAAGGGAGCCUCCUGGACAUGGUACUAUCAACGUGCACGAGAGGUCCACUCUGGUUUGGAAACCCACUGUCUUCUUCCUGGCGCUAGCUUUUGCUAAUCCAGAGAACCUAACUUCCCAGACAUAAGGUGGCAGGUGAGCCUGAUGGAUAGUUCCUGGCCGAAGCAGCUCCUGUCUUGUGUCAGACAUCUACAGCAGACAUGGAGGAGUCCUAGCUGAGCAGCCCAAGAAGAUGAGCAGAAGAUAGGGGUGUGCAGGUCUCCCGCACUGCCCCCUUGACACAUAUGCUACCUGGGGGUUUCUCCACGUUAUCUCACAGAUUUUCACAAAAUAAGUGUCCAUAUUCCAGGAAGGCUAAGGCUGGAAACUAUUGCCUGUUGCACACAUUGCUUCCUAGCUGGCUGGAGAAUGUCCUGCUAGUCACUGUGACAUGCUUUUUCCGGGAGAAAUGAGAAACCUUUUUUGUAAGAAUGGGCAUCAUGGAAGAAGAAGAACUAGACAUUUCCAUGGACAAGAAUUCAUUACAUCACUGCUCCUUUGACAGACAGGGCUGGAAGCCCUGGGGUGCACAGAGCCUCAGGCUAGCAGCCAGCUCACCAACUCUCAUGCUUUCUGUUUCUCCACAAAAUGAAGACACAAAAAGAACUUAGUUUCAUGGACAUGGCAUGAAAUGAAAAGUCAGGCUUCAUUUGGCACUUUGUUUGGGUCCCCAAAUAACAAAAUAACUACUUAAGAAAU
ensembl:lincRNA C030034L19Rik RIKEN cDNA C030034L19 gene